rnacentral:rRNA from 1 species
UACGGGGGGGGCAAGCGUUGUUCGGAAUUACUGGGCGUAAAGGGCUCGUAGGCGGCCAGCUAAGUCAGACGUGAAAUCCCUCGGCUUAACCGGGGAACUGCAUCUGAUACUGGAUGGCUUGAGUUUGGGAGAGGGAUGCGGAACUCCAGGUGUAGCGGUGAAAUGCGUAGAUAUCUGGAGGAACACCGGUGGCGAAGGCGGCAUCCUGGACCAACACUGACGCUGAGGAGCGAAAGCCAGGGGAGCAAACGGG